CCUACGGGAGGCAGCAGUGGGGAAUAUUGCGCAAUGGGCGAAAGCCUGACGCAGCGACGCCGCGUGAGGGAUGAAGGUCUUCGGAUCGUAAACCUCUGUCAGCAGGGAAGAACGGUCACUGUGCUAAUCAGCAGUGAAUUGACGGUACCUGCAAAGGAAGCACCGGCUAACUCCGUGCCAGCAGCCGCGGUAAUACGUAGGGUGCGAGUGUUAAUCGGAAUUACUGGGCGUAAAGCGCUCGUAGGCGGUAUGUCAAGUCAAGGGGGAAAUCCCCGCGCUCAACCUGGGAACUGCCUUUGAAACUGGCAAACUGGAGUGGGUGAGAGGAUAGUGGAAUUCCAGGUGUAGGGGUGAAAUCCGUAGAUAUCUGGAGGAACAUCAGUGGCGAAGGCGACUAUCUGGCACAUAACUGACGCUGAGGAGCGAAAGCGUGGGUAGCAAACAGGAUUAGAUACCCUGGUAGUC
rnacentral:rRNA from 1 species